UACGUAGGGUGCAAGCGUUAUCCGGAAUCACUGGGCGUAAAGCGUGCGUAGGCGGCGUGUUAAGUGUGAUGUUAAAUCAUGUGGCUCAACCAUAUUGAUGCAUCGCAUACUGGCAUGCUUGAGGAAGGCAGAGGCAAGUGGAAUUGGCAGUGUAGCAGUGAAAUGCGUAGAGAUUGCCAGGAACACCAAUGGCGAAGGCAGCUUGCUGGGCCUUUUCUGACGCUGAGGUACGAAAGCGUGGGGAGCGAACAGG
rnacentral:rRNA from 1 species